GUAGUUGCAAAGGCAUCAGCCUUAUUUCAACAAAUAAGUCUGUCACUAUGCAUUAGAUGUUAAAUAUAUCAGAAAAUAUCAACAGGACACCAUACUACAAAGCUGAAUGUACAAAACCAAGUUGCCUGAUUCAACAGACAAGAUGCUACAAGAGGUCCUGACAUGGCCAUGAAGAGGUUUUAAUAUCUAAAAUAAGGGAGGAAGGUGUUGAAGAAAAGAAAAGCAUGGUCUUAUACCAGAAAGAAUGGCUACCAUCAGGAAUAAUAAUAAAUGAUAAUAAAUAAUAACAAAUCAAUAAUAAUAAAUGCUGGUCAGGCUGUGGGAAGAAAGGAAGUUUUCUACUUUGUCAGUGGGAAGUAAAGGAGCACAACCAUUAUGGAAAUCAGUCUGGUGAUUUUCUAAAGAAGAAAUUCCAUUCAACCCAGCUAUUAUCCUUCCAGGUGUCUUCCUGACAGAGUUAAAGACAUCAUAUGACAGUGUUAUACGAGUACCCACAUUUAUAGCAGCACAAUUCACAACACUAAAUCAUGAAAACUGCCUAUGUAUCUAUCAACAGAUGAAUAGAUAAAGAAAAUGUGGAAUUUAUACCCAAAGGAGU
rnacentral:lncRNA from 1 species